rnacentral:lncRNA from 10 species
UUUUGCUUGAUUCAGUUACCAGUGUGGAUUAUUUCUUUCCAAUGGGAAGCUAUUUGAGUGCACAUAAUUACUACACCACGUUUCUUGUGUGACCUCAGGCGAUUUUCAUCAGGAACAGCAUUAAGCUGGCCUGCCUCUGCCCUCCAGAAUAAAAGGGCCCUGGGAGUGAUGUUGGAAGAGUUUCGCCAUCCUUUACCCCAAAUGGGCCUCUGGUCCAUGGAAUAUUCCUGGAGGGGACAUUUGUGGUGGCCCGUGGAAGACAGCGGACCAGUGAACAGUGUAGCAAUGAAGGUAAAAUAAGUUGUAUUUCCAAAAUAGUUUUUAAUAUAGCAUCACAUACUUCCACAACAAUAAUUAAUUGGUCUCUUUGUUUUAAUAGUUAAACGUUUAUUUCUGCUGUUUCAUGUUUUAUCACAAGGACCAAAAGACCCAGAAUGAUUUGAAUGUAGAACUGGGAACACAGGGAGCCUAUAGGAGAAUUCCCCCAAAUGAACAGGUGGCUAAAGGCAAAUGCCUCUCCUGACACAUCAGAGCUGGGGCAGUCCCAAAUGAGAGCUCCCUGGGGAGGCCCCAGGCUGUGGGGCGGCCACCUCUGGAGUGUGGAUUCCACAGGAACUCAGAGGAGAGGUAAGGGGGAGGCCUUAAGGCCCCGGAACUGAGAUGAUGGAAAACCAGAGUCUGUGCUGUUUCAUGGAGCACCUGGGGGAAUCUGGAAUGGGAUCCUCUAUCCCAUGUCACCUAUAAGAGAGAUCAUUGGCUUGGCUUUCUUUCCAGAAGCUGGGAAAUAUUCCUUUUAUUUUAUUAUGUUUGCAUUUAUAUUUUUCUUUUUUUUGGGGGGCAGUUUUUUAGUUUUGUAAAGAGUGUUCUGAAUGGUAGAGAGAGGAGGUGGUGUGCGGUGUUUCAGCUUGUACUCAAAGCUCCAGCACCGUAUUUCGCCUGCGCUACACCUACGGUGCUGAACCUCGACUGGCACAGCAUUUGUCAGACUCCUCCUGGAUGGACAUUCCACGUCACUGACUAUAAAUUUCAAAAGGCUCCACAGAAAACUUCACCACACCAGGGUCACAUUCUCAGAAUAGAAGCACUCUUCUAACAGUCACAUGAAAUGAACAUCAAUGUCCCAGAUGUUCCUACGCACCCUUGAGUCACUUUCUAUUAGAGGAAUAAUCACGAUUUGCCUUCCUUGAUGUCUGAAUUUAUUUAUAUUGUAAUGUUACUUAUCUACUCACUUCACAGGUGUGGAUGAGUCACAAAUGGCAGCUAGAAUCUUGACUAACUGCCUCUCACUGAUGAAUAAAACGGCAAGCUUUUGUAGGUUGAGCAAGGUUAUUUGGAAGAGAAGUAAUCUUUUUCUGUGUAGGCAAAAUGCAUGCAGUUUGUCCAGCCUAAGAGAAAGUGAGAAACAUUGAGAAAAUUAGACAUUUAGCUACAAAGCUAAGGAAAUUAAACAUUAAGCUACAAAGUUAAGGAAAUAAUUAUGAGUUAUUAGAUAAUUCCAGUAGGGAAACCCCAAUUGGCUUGGUGUCAUCAUUAUGACAGUAAACUCAGUUUAAAAAUUGUUAUAGUAGUUUUAUUCACAGGAGACCAAAACUGCAAACAAC